rnacentral:rRNA from 1 species
CCUUAGAGUUUGAUCCUGGCUCAGGACGAACGCUGGCGGCGUGCUUAACACAUGCAAGUCGAACGGGGUGUUUAUUUCGGUAAACAUCAAGUGGCGAACGGGUGAGUAACGCGUAAGCAAUCUACCUUCAAGAUGGGGACAACACUUCGAAAGGGGUGCUAAUACCGAAUGAAUGUAAGAGUAUCGCAUGAGACACUUACUAAAGGAGGCCUCUGAAAAUGCUUCCGCUUGAAGAUGAGCUUGCGUCUGAUUAGCUAGUUGGUGAGGGUAAAGGCCCACCAAGGCGACGAUCAGUAGCCGGUCUGAGAGGAUGAACGGCCACAUUGGGACUGAGACACGGCCCAGACUCCUACGGGAGGCAGCAGUGGGGAAUCUUCCGCAAUGGGCGAAAGCCUGACGGAGCAACGCCGCGUGAACGAUGAAGGUCUUAGGAUCGUAAAGUUCUGUUGUUAGGGACGAAGGGCAAGGGUUAUAAUACAGCCUUUGUUUGACGGUACCUAACGAGGAAGCCACGGCUAACUACGUGCCAGCAGCCGCGGUAAUACGUAGGCGGCAAGCGUUGUCCGGAAUUAUUGGGCGUAAAGGGAGCGCAGGCGGGAAACUAAGCGGAUCUUAAAAGUGCGGGGCUCAACCCCGUGAUGGGGUCCGAACUGGUUUUCUUGAGUGCAGGAGAGGAAAGCGGAAUUCCCAGUGUAGCGGUGAAAUGCGUAGAUAUUGGGAAGAACACCAGUGGCGAAGGCGGCUUUCUGGACUGUAACUGACGCUGAGGCUCGAAAGCUAGGGUAGCGAACGGGAUUAGAUACCCCGGUAGUCCUAGCCGUAAACGAUGGAUACUAGGUGUGGGAGGUAUCGACCCCUUCCGUGCCGGAGUUAACGCAAUAAGUAUCCCGCCUGGGGAGUACGGCCGCAAGGUUG